GCCACGGUGGUCUAGCGGUUAGAACGCUGGCCUUGUAAUCCUGGGGUCUCGGGUUCGAUUCCCGGCGCUGCCC
rnacentral:tRNA from 1 species